rnacentral:lncRNA from 1 species
GAGCUUAUAUUUACCUUUCUUACUGGCUGGGUAUGGGAAUGGAAAGGCGGUAUUAAGAAACAGUCACGGUUAAUCAAGAUUGAUUAGUGUGAUCACCUGUCUUUUAUUCUGUUUUUUUUUUCUUUUGGUUGAAUGAGCUGACUCAGGAGGAAUAAAGCAGAGUUUUAAAAUAAUCGAUGGUUACCUAAAGCCAUAUCAUUGAGUAGUUCUCUUACCUAAGUUGAAC